rnacentral:lncRNA from 1 species
AUCUGUGUUCUGUUUUGUUUUUCCUUUAUUAAAAUAAACCUUCUUUAAAACAAGUUAAUUAACCCUCUACACACAAUAAAAUCACAUUUGAAACUAACGCUGGGACUCAAAGACAAGUUUAAAUUUGCAUAAAAUCGUCUGGUAAUGCAUGUCUCGUAUAACGCGAUUUCUUAUAACGCGGAACUUAUCCCCCGCGUUGUACGAGAGUCCAUUGUACAUGCAAUUCAACAGAGAAUUAAAUUAGAAACUUUAGAAUGUGUUAGAAUUUCCACUAAGCUUAUACCCUUGGAUAUGUUUUUGUUUACAUUAAUAUUAAUAAAAAUUUUCAUAGACAAAUCUGUCCUAUGUCCUGAAUUUCGGCUAUAAUAAUUUUCGUAAUCAGAAACAAUGAUUAAACUGAGUCAUCGCUGUGCCAUUUGACUUAGUCAUACAAAACUUGGUUAACUAUGUUAAUAAUAUGACGGGCC